GAACCCAUGAAGAAGCUCCCUGAUAGGUGCU
rnacentral:piRNA from 1 species